UCUAAUGGUAUUUAGUCUUUUGAUGUUUAAAAUUUGAUGUUUAAAAUAAUUGUUGCACACUCGAUGGUAUGUAAAGUACAAACAAUGAUUUUUAUUCAAUGGGGGAUUCUAUGAUCCGAGGAACAAUUCUAUAAGGGAAUCAAGGUAAUUAUGUUAUGUAAAUAGUGGGGCAUGAUGAUUAAGUGUAUUGAUGAAUGACAUCAGACCUGGAGAGGUAAUUAUCCAAUUAUUGAAUUGAUGUUAUACCAAUGAAGUAGAUAAGUAAGAAUGGAUCUAGUCCUGUUACUGAAUGAAUAUUAAGAAAAGAAUCAAAUACAUAAAGGUGAGGAAUAUGAAUUAAUGUGAUUUAAAUGAGGAUAGCUAGUAAUUAGAGGUUUGACAAAUUAAGGAUAAUUGUUAGAAAAUUUGAUGCAAAUAGGAAUAAUGAUACAUCAGAGGAUCUAAGAUAAAGAUUUUUAUAUUUUGGGAUUUC
rnacentral:lncRNA from 1 species